rnacentral:lncRNA from 10 species
AUCAGCACCCAGACCGGCAGGCUGAGCAGGCUCUGUGUGGGUGAGACAGCAGAACCGGUGGGGUAGUCAGCAGAAAGAUCUGGACACCCCAGCCUAGAUGUCCCGUCCCCGAGCCCUGACAUCAGCCCUCCUCUCUUUACUAAUGCAUGAUGCCUGAUAACAGAAAUGCGUUGUUUAAAAGAAUAAGAAAACUCAGCAUGCUGAAGGUAACACUUCACAAGCUCUGCUCCUGGGUCCAAGGUCAGGAGAGGGACCAGGGGCUUGAGAAGAGUCCAUUUGGAAAAGACUUAAAGUUCUCCAGAAACAGCAGUAAUGGUGAUGACAACUAACAUGACCCGGCGGUGACUUUACCAGUAUUCCUCCCACAGAUGAGGAAACUGGAGCUUGGAGGGAAUGAAUUGCUGGACGUCACAGAGAUGAGCUGGGACUUGAGUUUCAUGCUUCUCAUUCCAGAGGGUGCCCUAGCUUCGCCUCCAUCACAUGGCCUGGGACACUGGAACCUGAUGAGAACCCAGGAGAAGGGACCUUGGGCUGGCCAGGUACUUUCCCUUUGCCCAUGCAGUGCUGCUGGUGGCAACAGCUUCCAUGUCAUACAGGAGGGAACGGAGGCUCGGAACUGCCAAAGCUCCACACGGAUACACCCUUGUAGAGAGACUCCCCCCAUGGAAGGGUCACCUCAACCACUUUCUGCUGGUUCCCUUGCAGACAUUUCAAACUUUGUCACCUAUUCAAAGAUGGCUUUCUACGGACUACAUGAGCAACCAACAAGCUAACCCAUUGGGUGCCAUGAAAAAACAUGAAGCAACAGCCACAUAGGAGAGGGGAUUCCGCACUUGGAGAUGCUGGUCCUACCUGACGGAUGAAGACCCCUGGUGGGAGGUCACCUGGCUCCCAUCUGUCGAGGGCUGUCAGUCCUACACCUGUCCUCUCACAGGCUAAGCCAAUCUGCAAGCCCAUUUGAAUGAAGGUGUCAUGUGGUGAACCACUGUUUUACAUGCCA